rnacentral:snRNA from 1 species
GUGCUCGCUUCAGCAGCACAUACACUAAAAUUGGAACGAUACAGAGAAGAUUAGCAUGGCCUCUGCACAAGGAUAACAUGCAAAUUUGUGAAAUGUUCCAUAUUAAA